GGGGAAGGCCUGGGAACUCCUGGGUGUAAGCGGGUGGGAAUUGCGCAGAUAUCAGGGAGGAACACCGGGUGGCGAAGGGCGGGUCUCUGGGGCCGUUUACUGACGCUGAAGGAGCGAAAGCGUGGGGAGCGAAACAGGAUUAGAUACCCUGGUAGUCCACGCCGUAAACGUUGGGCACUAGGUGUGGGGGCGCCUGGUUUUACUGGGCGGUUCCGCGCCGCAGCUAACGCAUUAAGUGCCCCGCCUGGGGAGUACGGCCGCAAGGCUAAAACUCAAAGGAAUUGACGGGGGCCCGCACAAGCGGCGGAGCAUGCGGAUUAAUUCGAUGCAACGCGAAGAACCUUACCAGGGCUUGACAUGGGGGCGGCGGCGUCGGAGACGGCGUCUCCUUUUUUUGGGCGCCCCUGCAGGUGGUGCAUGGUUGUCGUCAGCUCGUGUCGUGAGAUGUUGGGUUAAGUCCCGCAAUGAGCGCAACCCCUGUCCCGUGUUGCCAGCGCGUGGUGGCGGGGACUCUCGGGAGACUGCCGGGGUCAACUCGGAGGAGGGUGGGGACGACGUCAAAUCAUCAUGCCCCUGACGUCCUGGGCUUCACGCAUGCUACAAUGGCCGGUACAGAGGGUUGCGAUGCCGCGAGGCGGGGCGAAUCCCUUAAAGCCAGUCUCAGUUCGGAUCGGUGUCUGCAACUCGACACCGUGAAGUCGGAGUCGCUAGUAAUCGCAGAUCAGCAUUGCUGCGGUGAAUACGUUCUCGGGCCUUGUACACACCGCCCGUCACGUCAUGAAAGUCGGCGACCCCCAAGCCCGUGGCCCCAUGGGGAGCGGUCGAAGGCGGGGCCGCUGUUUUACGAAGUCGUAACAAGGUAGCCGUAAUCGUCGAACGGCAGGCGGCAAACUGGCGUAUCCAGUCAAAUUUUUUCCCC
rnacentral:rRNA from 1 species